UACAGAGGGGGCAAGCGUUGUUCGGAAUUACUGGGCGUAAAGGACGCGUAGGCGGCCUUCUAAGUCGAACGUGAAAUCCCCGGGCUCAACCCGGGAACUGCGUCCGAUACUGGAAGGCUUGAAUCCGGGAGAGGGAUGUGGAAUUCCAGGUGUAGCGGUGAAAUGCGUAGAUAUCUGGAGGAACACCGGUGGCGAAGGCGGCAUCCUGGACCGACACUGACGCUGAGGCGCGAAAGCUAGGGGAGCAAACGGG
rnacentral:rRNA from 1 species